CUGGAAGCUCUGUUUCGAUAAGGCCGAGGGCGAGCUCGAGUGGCGCAGCAGAGGAGGCGAUUCUUCAUCCAUGGCGUUUUCGAGAUCUUCCACCGCUCGAUCUUGAUUUCGGUCCCCUUUCUCUUAGAUCCCCGGUGUCGCGAGGCAGAAACGAUCUAGUGAUUUCCCUUCUUGUGCCACUUUCACUAGAUAUUCUGAGAAGUUCUUCUCUGGUGUUGUUGAUGGAAUGUGUCCUAGAUGAAGAGAAAUUCCUCCUGAUUUGUUCAUGUGAGAGGUGAAGAGAAGAUGGUGAGCAGUUGGGACUGUUACUGACCUAUGGAAUCAUGUUGCUGAAUCCCCUCUGAUGUUUUUCCUUCU